GUUGUAUUCAUAUGAUGUGACAGACUUAGGUUAAUAUUUCACCAGGUCCGAGGGCUAAAGGUAUGUGUUAAGUAGACCCCAUAAAGUUAUCCUACAACUGAUUUUGAUACUGUGCUGUAUGGAUGGGAGCUACAGUACAUG